rnacentral:tRNA from 1 species
GGUGGCUCAGUGGUAGAGUACUUGCCUUGCAUGCAGGAAGCCCUGGGUUCAAUUCCUCAGCACCA